UAGAUACUCCCUUCGUUUGGAAUUACUUGUUGCACAAAUGGAUAAAAAUGAAUGUAUCUAGAUCUAAAAUACAUGUAGAUACAUCCAUUCAUGUGGCAAGUAUUUUCGAACAAAGGGAGUAUGUA
rfam:Hordeum vulgare subsp. vulgare, WGS project CAJW01000000 data, contig: morex_contig_50003